AUGACAACACAAUGCAAAGAAGAUGACAGGAAACUUCUGCUCUUUGUAUCACUGUGGUUAACAUUUGGCAGCGGCACCAGACUGGAUGUUGGCACCAACAGUCGUCCUAAAGUGAGCAUCCUGCCGCCGUCCAGUGAAGAGAUUUCCACAAAGCAAGCAGCAACACUGAUGUGUGUGGCCAACAAGGGCUUCCCCUCAGACUGGAGUCUGAACUGGAAGGUGGACGGGAUCAGCAGCAGGUCUCAGUACAGCAGUGUUGCUCUCCUGGAGAAGGACGGUCUGUACAGCUGGAGCAGCAGUCUGACUCUCUCUGAGCAGGAGUGGAGCUCAGUGAUCUCAGUCAGCUGUGAGCUCACACAGAAAGACCAGCGUGAUAAAGUCACUGGAGAAUUGAGGAGAGAUCAGUGUUCACAGUAG